GACGAACGCUGGCGGCGUGCUUAACACAUGCAAGUCGAACGGAAAGGCCUGCUUUCCCUUGUGGAUUGCGGGUACUCGAGUGGCGAACGGGUGAGUAACACGUGAGUGAUCUGCCCCCAACUUGGGUAUAAGCCUGGGAAACUGGGUCUAAUUCCCGAUAGGACUGCAGGGUGGUGCCUGUGGUGGAAAACGAUUUUCUAGUGGUUGGGGAUGAGCUCGCGGCCUAUCAGCUUGUUGGUGGGGUAAUGGCCUACCAAGGCGGCGACGGGUAGCCGGACUGAGAGAGUGGACGGCGACAUUGGGACUGAGACACGGCCCAGACGCCUAGGGGAAGCAGCAGUGGGGAAGAAUGCAGAAUGGGCGGAAGCCUGAUGCAGCGACGCAGCGUGGGGGAUGACGGGCUUGGGGUUGUAAACUCCUUUGGACCGAGAGGAAGCCACCUGGUUGGAAGGGUGGUGACGGUAGUGGUAGAAGAAGCACCGGCUAACUACGUG
rnacentral:rRNA from 1 species